GACGAACGCUGGCGGCGUGCCUAAUACAUGCAAGUCGAACGCUUCUUUCCUCCCGAGUGCUUGCCCUCAAUUGGAAAGAGGAGUGGCGGCCGGGUGAGUAACACGUGGGUAACCUACCCAUCAGCGGGGGAUCACACUUGGAAACAGGUGCUAAUACCGCAUAACAGUUUAUGCCGCAUGGCAUAAGGGUGAAAGGUGCUUUCGGGUGUCGCUGCUGGAUGGACCCGCGGUGCAUGAGCUAGUUGGUGAGGUAACGGCUCACCUAGGCCACGAUGCAUAGCCGACCUGAGAGGGUGAUCGGCCACACUGGGACUGAGACACGGCCCAGACUCCUACGGGAGGCAGCAGUAGGGAAGCUUCGGCAAUGGACGAAAGUCGGACCGAGCAACGCAGCGUGAGUGAAGAAGGUUUUCGGAGCGUAAAACGCUGUUGUUAGAGAAGAACAAGGACGUUAGUAACUGAACGUCCCCUGACGGUAUCUAACCAGAAAGCCACGGCUAACUACGUG
rnacentral:rRNA from 1 species